UACGAAGGGGGCAAGCGUUGUUCGGAAUUACUGGGCGUAAAGGGCGCGUAGGCGGCUUAUCAAGUCAGGCGUGAAAUUCCCGGGCUCAACCUGGGGGCUGCGCUUGAUACUGAUGAGCUUGAAUGCGGGAGAGGAUAGUGGAAUUCCCAGUGUAGAGGUGAAAUGCGUAGAUAUCGAGAGGAACACCUGCGGCGAAGGCGGGUUGCUGGGCUGACACUGACGCUGAUGCGCGAAAGCUAGGGGAGCGAACGGG
rnacentral:rRNA from 1 species